rnacentral:misc_RNA from 1 species
GCAGUGUCCAAACCUAUUAGUGGAAACAUCACAUCAGGCAACCCUUCUAAUUCCGCUCGACAGUUAACUUGACCUGAAAUCUUUUUGCUAUCUGGAAUUUCAUCGCGAUCAUACAUGGCAGCAUGGACUGUCUCGUGAAUUGUAAAAAGAAUUCUCUGCUUCCCUCUAUAAAGAUAAGGUUUCCAUGCUGGCUGCUUCUGAUCUGCAGGAGGGAUGUCUGCUGAAGAAA